rnacentral:rRNA from 1 species
GACCAACGCUGGCGGCGUGCUUAACACAUGCAAGUCGAACGGAAAGGCCCUGCUUGCAGGGUACUCGAGUGGCGAACGGGUGAGUAACACGUGGGUGAUCUGCCCUGCACUUCGGGAUAAGCCUGGGAAACUGGGUCUAAUACCGGAUAGGAGCCAUUUUUAGUGUGAUGGUUGGAAAGUUUUUUCGGUGUAGGAUGAGCUCGCGGCCUAUCAGCUUGUUGGUGGGGUAAUGGCCUACCAAGGCGGCGACGGGUAGCCGGCCUGAGAGGGUGGACGGCCACAUUGGGACUGAGAGACGGCCCAGACUCCUACGGGAGGCAGCAGUGGGGAAUAUUGCACAAUGGGCGCAAGCCUGAUGCAGCGACGCCGCGUGGGGGAUGACGGCCUUCGGGUUGUAAACUCCUUUCGCUAGGGACGAAGCUUUUUGUGACGGUACCUAGAUAAGAAGCACCGGCUAACUACGUG